rnacentral:rRNA from 1 species
AGAGUUUGAUCAUGGCUCAGGAUGAACGCUAGCGGCAGGCUUAAUACAUGCAAGUCGUGGGGCAGCGCAGUGUAGCAAUACAUGGGCGGCGACCGGCAAACGGGUGCGGAACACGUACGCAACCUUCCUUUAAGUGGGGGAUAGCCCGGGGAAACCCGGAUUAAUACCCCGUAAUACUAUGAGAUGGCAUCAUCUUAUAAUUAUAGCUCCGGCGCUUAAAGAUGGGCGUGCGUCUGAUUAGGUAGUUGGCGGGGUAACGGCCCACCAAGCCUACGAUCAGUAACUGGUGUGAGAGCACGACCAGUCACACGGGCACUGAGACACGGGCCCGACUCCUACGGGAGGCAGCAGUAAGGAAUAUUGGUCAAUGGACGCAAGUCUGAACCAGCCAUGCCGCGUGGAGGAUGAAGGUCCUCUGGAUUGUAAACUUCUUUUAUUUGGGAAGAAACCCACGGUUUCUACUGUGGUUGACGGUACCAGAUGAAUAAGCACCGGCUAACUCCGUGCCAGCAGCCGCGGUAAUACGGAGGGUGCAAGCGUUAUCCGGAUUCACUGGGUUUAAAGGGUGCGUAGGUGGGCAGGUAAGUCAGUGGUGAAAUCUCCGGGCUUAACCCGGAAACUGCCGUUGAUACUAUCGGUCUUGAAUAUCGUGGAGGUGAGCGGAAUAUGUCAUGUAGCGGUGAAAUGCUUAGAUAUGACAUAGAACACCGAUUGCGAAGGCAGCUCGUUACACGAUUAUUGACACUGAGGCACGAAAGCGUGGGGAUCAAACAGGAUUAGAUACCCUAGUAGUCC